rnacentral:lncRNA from 1 species
CACACAGAUAGAGGAAAAACAAGCAACAAUUCAUUAUUUUUUGUUUGUGAGACUAAUAUAACGCUCAAGGUGAUCUCGUACACCUUUAGGUAUGUUGGCUAUAUUUUUGUUCCCCGUAUAUGUGAGUAGGUGUAGCAAUAUAUGCUUCCUCACUUCAUUAUUAUCCUGCAGAUUUUUAUACACAUAUAUAGUUAUAGUUAUAGUUAAUCAACUAUAUGAGGUGAAAAAGAAUAUUUAUUUACAAAGGAUAAUACUCACAUUACUGCAAAUGGAUGUUUCUAUCCUUUUGCCAUUCCAC